GAUGAACGCUGGCGGCGUGCCUAAUACAUGCAAGUCGAGCGAACAGACGAGGAGCUUGCUCCUCUGACGUUAGCGGCGGACGGGUGAGUAACACGUGGAUAACCUACCUAUAAGACUGGGAUAACUUCGGGAAACCGGAGCUAAUACCGGAUAAUAUAUUGAACCGCAUGGUUCAAUAGUGAAAGACGGUUUUGCUGUCACUUAUAGAUGGAUCCGCGCCGCAUUAGCUAGUUGGUAAGGUAACGGCUUACCAAGGCAACGAUGCGUAGCCGACCUGAGAGGGUGAUCGGCCACCCUGGAACUGAGACACGGUCCCGACUCCUACGGGAGGCAGCAGUAGGGAAUCUUCCGCAAUGGGCGAAAGCCUGACGGAGCAACGCCGCGUGAGUGAUGAAGGUCUUCGGAUCGUAAAACUCUGUUAUUAGGGAAGAACAAAUGUGUAAGUAACUAUGCACGUCUUGACGGUACCUAAUCAGAAAGCCACGGCUAACUACGUG
rnacentral:rRNA from 1 species